GGAAUAUAGCAAGGAAGGGAGAAGGAGCAAGGGGGAGUUUGAGGCAGGACAUCGGUCCCACCCAAGAGGAUUCAUCAAACUUAGGCUAUCUCUGCAAGUAAAGGCGGAGUGAGGAAAAAUCAAUUUAAGGAGUUUUAAGCGAACGAGGUUGAGCAGUGAUGACGGCGGGCGGUGUUGAGCAUAGACGAUGAAGAUCCUUCGAUAGAAUAGUACUUGGAUGCGUCGUGUCUCCAUACACGAUGUCAUCUGCUCUUGACUCUUCCGCUGCAAUGUAAAAGUCGAGAUUUCAUUCUCUUCUACCAUGCACUCUGAUUUAUAUAUAUAUUCCAAGUUAUUUCAGUUCAA